GACGAAGAAGCUGACAGUGGAGAUGAAGAAGAAGGAGAAGAGGAAGAGCUUGGGCCAAGCUCAGCAAUGGCGUAAUGGAGAUGGACUCGGUAACGGCGUAGCAUUCCCGUCGGGCCGGACGUGACGCCAUCUCUCAUGGCCCCUCUGGCUCUCUUUUCCUCAUUGCCUUUUUCUUCUUCUCGCCUGGACGGGAGUUGUACAGCUCUGAAGCUGCGGCUUCAGUUCUCCGCAGCCUUCCACGCCAUGAAGAGGCGACGGCCGGAGCUCUCUUCUUCCUCCGCCCCCAGACUGGCAGCUCCGCCUCCUCCAGAGACCGAUGACGUGGCGCGCCGAUGGCUCCUGCUUGACCUCGACCGGUCUGAGCUCUCUCUACCUCUGACCUUCCCGACCGGCCAGACCUUCCGGUGGAAGCAGACCGGGCCAGUUCAGUACACCGGCGCAGUCGGCCCUCACCUCAUUUCCCUGAAGCACCUUGAGGACGGCACUGUCUCCUACUUCAUCCACAGCCGGUCCUGCGAUUCCUCUGCCGCUGCGGCACUUCUCGAUUUCCUCAAUUCGGAUGUGUCAUUGGCGGAGAUUUGGGCGGCUUUCUCCGCCGCAGACCGGCGAUUUGCCGAGGUAGCUCGACACCUCGCGGGUGCUCGGGUGCUCAGGCAGGAGCCCCUUGAGUGUCUGGUUCAGUUCUUGUGCUCGUCGAAUAACAACAUCAAGAGGAUCACGAAGAUGGUGGACUUCAUAUCGAGCUCGGGCAACUAUCUGGGGUCCGUCGAAGGAUUCGAUUUCCAUGAGUUUCCGACUUUAGAGCAGCUCUCGGAGUUUUCGGAGGAAGCUCUCCGGGAGGCCGGAUUUGGUUACAGGGCCAAGUACAUAAUUGGAACCGUAAAAGCUUUGCAAUCAAAGCCUGGGGGAGGGGUUGAAUGGCUCAAAUCUCUUCGUAAAAUGGAUCUCCCUGAGACAAUUGAUGCACUAUGUACUCUCCCUGGAGUUGGCCCCAAGGUGGCUGCGUGCAUAGCUCUCUUCUCGCUUGAUCAACACCAUGCAAUCCCGGUCGAUACCCAUGUUUGGCAGAUUGCCACAAGGCAUCUCUUGCCUGAGCUAGCCGGUUCACGUCUAACACCUAAGCUCUGCAGCCGUGUAGCAGAGGCAUUUGUGAGCAAAUACGGGAAAUAUGCUGGGUGGGCUCAGACUUUACUUUUUGUUGCUGAGCUGCCUUCACAAAAGGCAUUGUUACCUUCUCAUUGUCUAAUUAUGAAGGAUGAAAAAACCACUGAUUGAAUGGACAGUGAACCACGCGAAGUUUUUCACCUUAAGGAAAGAUAUUGUUCAGCACUUUCUUCUCCUGAUGGGAAGGGGUAUUUGAAGUCAGCUGUGAGGCGAAAGCUAAAGAUUCAACGCUUUGGAGCUUAAACGAUGACCAUUUGACUCUACCCAGUAAGUUCGGGAUGAAGGUGCUGUCAUAUUACCAAAUUAGUUAUAACAUUUGAAGAUCCAUUUACCUGAUAGCCCCAAGUGUGGUUCGUGAUAGCCCAUCCUUGAAUCCGCACUCUGCGUAAUCCCACAAACCUUCUUUCCAGGUACGCCCCUGAAUCCUGUACAACAAUCAAAUUAGAUGUACGGUGUACUGUUGACUCAAAGUUCAGUGUGCCUUGGUCUUCAAGGUGCGAUUCAAUAAAUAGGAUGGAAUAGAAGAUUGAAAGGGAACCAUACCGGCAAUCCGACCAAGACACUCAGCAAAGAGACGUAGUUUGUCCCCUGGCUUAAUGAUAUCGUACUCCGUAGGCUAUAAUUACUUCUUCCAUCAAUUCCAUGAGCAGAUGCUGAUAAUAAAGCAAAAUGGGAAAAACUGCAUCAGUCUAUGAUUCAGUAUUUGCAACAAAAUAGAGAUGGCAUCGGUAAGUGUCUGUAGAGCUUGCCUACAUAUUUUCCAUUCACGAAUGCAUGCAAUAGAUGUCCACGGGUGUACACGUCGAGAUUUGAUUCAGCAGUGGGUGAAUCUUGCUGCAACCUGCAUUCAGAUGAUAUCUGUGAAAUAACGAAGUAUAUUUGCAGCAAAGCAUGAGAUCUAUGCUUACAACUUGCAUGCGGAUGUUGCUGUUGAACUAUAUUCUGAGUGGCCUGACACCCAAUUUGAAAAAUGUUAAAUCCGUAGGACCUACCCGAAUGUAUACCACAGAUAAUCGGAUUUAUCUUUGGUUGUAUUCAUUUGUUCCAGUAAUGUGUCUGCCCUCAACUUAGUUGCAUCAAAGUUAACAAUCGGCUCUUGGAACUGUUGCCAUCCCAAAUUUGAAUCGAACUUUAUGCUUGUAGCAUAUGUUCUUGUAUUGUCCUUCAUGCUGACCUAUUUAAACAGAUCGAUUAAUUCAUGAGCACUGAAACCAUUCAGAGUCCACUGUUCUCUUAUUUCUCAAGCCGUCGAGUUGUACCUUUGCCGUGUUGAAAACCUCUGUCCUGCAAUCUUGUAGGAUGCUAAUGGACUUUGGAGGUAAUUCAUAGGAGAUAUUUUGGAAAUUUACUUUUACAUCUUCUCCGGUGCUGUUGUUUAUUAGAAAGGCUGCACAUUGUUGCGAUGGGCCGCUGAAGACAAAGGCCUGGAGAACACCCAGUCAAGCAAUUUAGGGGAAAGAAAAGGACUGUAGGAUUUGGGAGAUCGUAUUAUCUCAUAAGGAAAUGUUCUUACUUGUUGAUUUGUUCCCAAGGGGAAAGCACUCGGUUUUCCAUAUAGUAAAGGCCUCGAGAUCAAUUUUACGGCUGCAUGUAAUUCCUUAAGGUGGCUCCACUUAGGCUGCCUGAUCAGACCUAAGACCAUAUCAUAUACGUAGAUUUUCUUAAUGAAUAUAUAUAAAUUAGAUGCUGAACCACAAGUUGCAGAAAUAUGCUGCUGCAAUGACACAAGUUUCUUGGUAACUCACCAUACUCGUCCAAAGGGGCUUGAUCGUAGUAAGCGGUAAUCAUAAAUGCUGAAGCUUUUCUUCCAAAGUUUGUUCCUCCAUGAUACUGAUUUGUUGCAUAGAAGGAAGUGAUUAGGCAGAAUGUCAGCCAUUCACAGUUGAAUGCAGACGAACAUGAAAAAUUUCAAAAAGCAAGGGCUAGGAGCUCUAUAUCUUUUUUCCACCACCCCCCCGGAAUUGUUGCAUUGCUAGCUAGCUAGUUAGGGAGUUACUUACCAUGUAAUAAUUGACAUAACUUCCAUUUUUUGCUAUGAAGAGUGCAACUUGGUAUGCAAUGUCUUCUGCUGAUCUCAGGAUCGGUUCGGUGCCAUAUCUUUGCAAACUGCAGGGAGGAUGCCAUAAUGAUAUUAUCAUCUAAACUCAGGCUGAGAAUACAAGGGGAGAUUUUAAUUUAAGAAACUGUUAUCCAUAAUGAACUCGUCAGUCUGUCCUUUGGUUUAUUUGGUGAGUUGGGCCCUGCAAAUGUUUCUCCGCAUCGCCUACCAUUGCAUGCAUUAAUCUGCAGAGUGGAAUCAUAUUAUCUCUCAGCUCUGAACUACAACUACCCAUUCAAACAGAGAUAUGAGGAACUCUAAUAGGAAGAGGCUACUAACCACUGGAUCGGGAGCGUCAUCUUGCUUACACAUCACCCACGGGACUCCAGUCUGAAGUCCGACAGCCAUCCUAGCAGCCCAACGCACGCCAUGGUUGGCUGCUAUCUGGCCAGCCACGGCCUGAACCCGGAGGCAACAGACAACUACCAUCAGCCUAGUGGACAAGCAUUAACAUGAAGCAAGGAAGUUCUCAGGCAUUACCUCAAACGCCUCAUUGUCAGAUCGGUAUACAAUCCCUGGGUCCGAUUCUCAGGCAGACAUAGAGACCUUGUGCUUGGACUUCCUUGAUGAACCUGACGAUGUUCGCUCUCCCACUGAACACAUACUGCAAAGAUUCAGAGACCCCGAUUCACCAUAGAUACUGGUAGGAUGCAAAAUUUUGAGGCAAGAGAGUUACCUUCCGUGGUUUGGGCUCGUGUAGAUUCCAGAAGACGUAAGUCUGUAUCACAUCGACUCCUCCCAGUUUCGCUUUUGCUAUGAGAGACGGCCACAUCUACAGACAAUAACGGCUUAGGUUCACAUGUGUCCGAAGUGAAAUGAAUGUAUUAUGACAUCGUCAAUGUAUCAAUUCGAUGUUACGUGCCGAAUGGAAUCGUAAUCCCGUUCCUCGUACUAUUUGCCAUGAUAAUAAAUAACAAUGACAUGUCAGAGGAUUAUUCAA